rnacentral:rRNA from 1 species
UACAGAGGGUGCGAGCGUUAAUCGGAAUUACUGGGCGUAAAGCGCGCGUAUGCGGCUUUGCAAGUCGGGUGUGAAAUCCCCAGGCUUAACCUGGGAACUGCAUUCGAGACUGCAUUGCUAGAGUAUGGGAGAGGGAAGUGGAAUUUCCGGUGUAGCGGUGAAAUGCGUAGAUAUCGGAAGGAACAUCAGUGGCGAAAGCGACUUCCUGGACCAAUACUGACGCUCAUGUGCGAAAGCGUGGGGAGCAAACAGG